GGAUGCUACUAAGGGUGUAUGGGGGAUACCUUGGCAGUUAGAGGCGAUGAAGGACGUUUGUAUAGCAGCGAUAUGCUUCGGCGAGUGGUUAAACACGCAUUGACCCGGAGAUUUCCGAAUGGGGAAACCCUGUCAUGUGAAAGCAUGGCAAUCCACGACUGAGUAAAGUAGGUCGUGAGAAGCAAACUCAGGGAACUGAAACAUCUAAGUACCUGAAGGAAAAGUAAUCAAUUGAGAUUCUGCUAGUAGCGGCGAGCGAACGUGGAAUAGCCCAAACCAAUUAGCUUGCUAAUUGGGGUUGUAGGACUUGCGUAAAGGUGAUGAUAUUAGAAGAACUAGUUGGGAAACUAGACCAAAGAGGGUGAAAGUCCCGUAUUUGAAGGUUGAUUCACUGGGCGAGUAUCCUGAGUAGGACGGGGCACGUGAAACCUUGUCUGAAUCUGGGGGGACCACCCUCCAAGGCAAAAUACUACUAACUGACCGAUAGUGAACAAGUACCGUGAGGGAAAGGUUAAAAGAACCCCGANGAGGGGAGUGAAAUAGAACUUGAANCCAUACACUUACAANCAGUGGAAGGGCUAUUGUAAAGCCUGACUGCGUACCUCUUGCAUUAUGAGUCGCCGAGUUACGAUGUGUAGCAAGGUUAAGCCGUUGAAGGUGUAGCCGUAGGGAAACCGAGUCUUAAUAGGGCGAAUUAGUUGCAUGUCGUAGACCCGAAACGGGAUGAGCUAACCAUGAGCAGGUUGAAGCGAGGGUAAGACUUCGUGGAGGACCGAACCCAUAUAGGUUGAAAACUGUUGGGAUGACUUGUGGCUAGGGGUGAAAGGCCAAUCAAAUUCCGUGAUAGCUGGUUCUCUUCGAAAUGCAUUUAGGUGCAGCGUCUAGUGUUUACCAUCGGGGGUACAGCACUGAAUUGGCUAGGGGGCUUACCAGCUUACCAAACCAUAUCAAACUCAGAAUACCGAUGAGUAUAACUAGGCAGUGAGACUGCGGAUGCUAAGGUCCGUAGUCGAAAGGGAAAGAGCCCAGACCGUCAGCUAAGGUCCCUAAAUCAUAUCUAAGUGGGAAAGGUUGUGAGAUUACUUUGACAUCCAGGAGGUUGGCUUAGAAGCAGCCAUCCUUUAAAGAAAGCGUAAUAGCUCACUGGACUAGUGAUUUUGCGCCGAAAAUGUAACGGGGCUAAAGAUAUGUACCGAAGCUACGGACUAAUUUAUUAGUGGUAGAAGAGCAUUGUGUUUACCGACGAAGGCGUACUGAUAAGGAGCGCUGGAGGUCCCACAAGAGCUGAUGGCGACAUGAGUAGCGAUAAGGAGUGUGAGAAUCACUCCCGCCGAAAAUCUAAGGGUUCCUGGGCCAGGUGACUCCGCCCAGGGUAAGUCGGAUCCUAAGGUGAGGCCGAAAGGCGUAAUCGAUGGGUAACAGGUUAAUAUUCCUGUACUUAGUAUUGUUCGUUUGACUUAAGGAAUGACGGAGAAAGGUAGCGGAUCCACCUGUUGGAUGGUGGUUUAAGCAUGUAGGGGGGCGUUUUAGGAAAAUCCGGAACGCUGUUAACUCUGAGAUGUGAUGACGAGGGCGUAGCCCGAAGUUCGUGAUCCUCUGCUUCCAAGAAAAGUUUCGUAAGGAGAACAGUAUUAAUCCGUACCGUAAACCGACACAGGUAGAUGAGGAGAGAAUCCUCAGGCGUUUGGGGUAACUCUAGUUAAGGAACUCUGCAAAUUGGUGCCGUAACUUUGGGAGAAGGCACGCCCUUGAUGGUGACAUCACUUGCUGAUGAAGCUGUUGAGGGCCGCAGUGAAAAGGGGGUAGCGACUGUUUAUCAAAAACAUAGGUCUCUGCAAACUCGUAAGAGGAAGUAUAGGGACUGACGCCUGCCCGGUGCUGGAAGGUUAAGAGGAGAGGUUAGGGUAACCGAAGCUUUGAAUCGAAGCCCCAGUAAACGGCGGCCGUAACAAUAACGGUCCUAAGGUAGCGAAAUUCCUAGUCGGGUAAGUUCCGACCUGCAC
rnacentral:rRNA from 1 species